GGAGGAAACAGAAUAGGAUGCUGGGCGGAAGAGGAAGUGAGGUCAGACUCUGCUCUGCUUCCGGAGAGACCGGACAGCUCUGCUGGAGCAGAGACACCAUGCUCAGCUCUCCCAGGCAGCUGCAACCCACGAUGGACUUAGGCUAGAAUCUUUCCGCAAAACCUUCACCCUACCCGCAGUGGAAGGUUUGUUUCCGAAUAACUGUUUCUGUGACCUGAAAGUGGGGUUCUGAAGCCUGCAGAGCCCUUACCAACCAAAUCCUCCAGGGGGCGCUAGUUUCUAUCCAUGGAACAGCUGGACGUUUGAAACAGAUUCCACCCAGAGACUACUGCUGCAGUGUCCUCUCUGGCCAAGCAAGACGGCCAACGAGACAACAGCCAAUACAGUUGCAUUUGCGAAUCUCUACUUCUGUCAGCUUUUCUUCCAGGUGUUUUGCAUGAAUUCUUUCAUUGGAUUCUCACAGUAGUCCUGACAAACAAGACGCUGAGUCCUGGAGGCAUGUCUUGUCUACUCUGGAGCCAUGUGCUGCUGAGAAGACUGACUGGCUCAGUCACUAUGCCACCCUCUUCCCGUGCCCCUGCAUGGGCACAGAUCCAUGCCCCCAAAUAUCCUGUCCUCUUUUUCAUUGGCCACCCUACAUCACAGUGACUGUGAGAACAGCUUGAUUUAGAUCCCAUGUCCUCCCUCUAAGCCAGCCUGAUGCCAGUCUCUUCCCCAAACUCCAUCAUUCACACCUGCCUCUUGUUCUAGAAUUGGGUCCACGUGGAUGUGAAGUUAAAUUUCAAGUAUGUCCACUAUCUCCACUGCCCAGGACUCCUGCGUUCCUUAGGAAGCACUGCGCUAGCCAUAGGGACAAUAUAUAUUCUUGUGCCCAUUCACAUUCCCUUUAGAUCUUGUUGGAGGAAAGUUCAUAACCUCAGACCCAGGAAAAGAUUCCUAAGGACAGGAACGAUGCUUACAUCCCAGACCACCAACUCUGCCAGAUAAGUUAAGAGACCAUAGCUCAUGUAAUGACAGAUCUCAGAACCAGUUCCUUGUCUAAAUCAGAAUUACAAAGUCCUGCCUGUUAACUAUGAAUUCCUGUUCCUCCCCUACCAGCAGUCUGAUGACAACCUCCACGGACACCAAUCAGGCCACUUCCUUCAAGGACACAGAGAUGAUGUGUACUGUGCACACAAAGCACGUUGAGGGCUGCACCCCACCACCCAGCCUACUCCAUUAAACAUAAAGUGAAACCAACAUGAGAUUUGACAAUGACAUUGCAUGGCCACCAACCUCAGAAACACCGUGUGCCAUUCUCCUCACCCCACCUCCAUUUAUGAUUUCAUAAAUCUGCAAGUGUCUGAAUAUGUGAUAAGACCACAGGCUGAACUGGCAGGAGAAAGAGGUCAAAGGCAUUUGGCAAGUUCCACAGCACUGAGAUUACUUUUAAAGUUUGUUAAAUUUUAGAAACAAUUCUUUUAAAAAGAAGCAAAACCCUACCUAAGGUAGAAAGUGCUUUAUGGAUAGAGAUGGAAAGGAGGGAGGGAGG